rnacentral:snRNA from 1 species
AUACUUACCUGGCAGGGGAGCUACCAUGAUCACGAAGGUAGUUUUCCCAUGGCGAGGCUUAUCUAUUGCAUGCCGGAUGUGCUGACCCCUGUAGUUUUCCCAAAUGUGGGAAACUAAACUGCAUAAUUUGUGGCUGUGGGGGACUGCAUUUGUGCUCUACCCUG